AGUGAACGCUGGCGGUAGGCCUAACACAUGCAAGUCGAACGGCAGCACAGUAAGCGCUUGCUCUUACGGGUGGCGAGUGGCGGACGGGUGAGGAAUACAUCGGAAUCUACUUUUUCGUGGGGGAUAACGUAGGGACACUUACGCUACUACCGCAUACGACCUACGGGUGAAAGCAGUGGAUCUUCGGACCUUGCGCGAUUGAAUGAGCCGAUGUCGGAUUAGCUAGUUGGCGGGGUAAAGGCCCACCAAGGCGACGAUCCGUAGCUGGUCUGAGAGGAUGAUCAGCCACACUGGAACUGAGACACGGUCCAGACUCCUACGGGAGGCAGCAGUGGGGAAUAUUGGACAAAGGGCGCAAGCCUGAUCCAGCCAUACCGCGUGGGUGAAGAAGGCCUUCGGGUUGUAAAGCCCUUUUGUUGGGAAAGAAAAGCAGCAGGUUAAUACCCCGCUGUUCUGACGGUACCCAAAGAAUAAGCACCGGCUAACUUCGUG
rnacentral:rRNA from 1 species